GUGCUCUCUUGGCAGCACAUAUACUAAAAUUGGAAGGGUGCAGACAUUAGCAUUGCCCCUGCACAAGGAUAAUGUGCUAUAAAACCCUGGGUUUCCUUAAUUACUU
ensembl:snRNA U6 U6 spliceosomal RNA